GAUGAACGCUGGCGGCGUGCUUAACACAUGCAAGUCGAACGAUGAAGCCCAGCUUGCUGGGUGGAUUAGUGGCGAACGGGUGAGUAACACGUGAGUAACCUGCCCUUGACUCUGGGAUAAGCCUGGGAAACUGGGUCUAAUACUGGAUAUGACUUCUCAUCGCAUGGUGGGGGGUGGAAAGAUUUAUUGGUCUUGGAUGGACUCGCGGCCUAUCAGCUUGUUGGUGAGGUAAUGGCUCACCAAGGCGACGACGGGUAGCCGGCCUGAGAGGGUGACCGGCCACACUGGGACUGAGACACGGACCAGACUCCUACGGGAGGCAGCAGUGGGGAAUAUUGCACAAUGGGCGCAAGCCUGAUGCAGCGACGCCGCGUGAGGGAUGACGGCCUUCGGGUUGUAAACCUCCUUCAGUAGGGAAGAAGCGAGAGUGACGGUACCUGCAGAAGAAGCGCCGGCUAACUACGUG
rnacentral:rRNA from 1 species